rnacentral:rRNA from 1 species
CAAGGUGCUGCAUGGUUGUCGUCAGCUCGUGCCGUGAGGUGUCGGGUUAAGUCCCAUAACGAGCGCAACCCCUAUCUUUAGUUGCCAUCAGUUCGGCUGGGCACUCUAUGGAGACUGCCACCUAAAGUGGAGGAAGGUGGGGAUGACGUCAAGUCAGCAUGGCCCUUACGUCCGGGGCUACACACGUGCUACAAUGGCCGGUACAAAGGGUUGCGAAGCCGUGAGGUGGAGCGAAUCUCAAAAAGCCGGCCUCAGUUCGGAUUGGAGGCUGCAACUCGCCUCCAUGAAGUCGGAAUCGCUAGUAACCGCAGAUCAGCUACGUUGCGGUGAAUACGUUCCCGGGCCUU